CACCAGCGGCCGUUGAAAAAUGGCGACUGUUACUGAGCUGAAAGCUGUUUUAAAGGACACCUUGGAAAAAAGGGGAGUGUUAAGACAUUUAAAAGCAAGGAUCCGUGCUGAAGUUUUCAAUGCUCUGGAUGAUGAUCGUGAACCCCGACCAUUGUUGUCUCAUGAGAACCUUCUAAUUAAUGAAUUAAUUAGGGAGUAUUUGGAAUUCAACAAAUAUAAAUACACAGCCUCUGUCCUCAUAGCAGAAUCUGGUCAACCUGUAGUUCCAUUGGACAGACAGUUUCUCAUCCGUGAACUAAAUGCCUUUGAAGAAUCAAAGGAUAACUCAAUACGGAGCCCAGAAUGUGCUUCUGACAGAAUCAACACUGCACCCUGCAAACAAGCAUGUCAGCUGGAAGCCCAGCAGAAGACCAGAUGAUGACCACCUGAAGAAGGACACAGGGCCAAGAACCAUGACUGAAGAGCUUCAUGCUGCUGCACAGGCAGUCAUUAGAUGAUGUGUACACCAGGCUCUUCACCUCGGCUGUGUGUGGAGUAACUAACUUAUUCCCAGUGCCAUCAAUUAGACCACCACUGUCUGUAAAUGUUUGAAUGUCUACAAACAUUCAGCCACUCGUGGUUUACUGCAUCUGUAGAAUACUGAUCUGUCAUCUAGUUUGCUGGAUGCCACUGGGGGAAAUUUAUUGUUUUCAGGAUGUAUUUUUAAAGUUCUCAUUUGUGAAAUCUGAAAGGUCUUUUUAGUACUUUGCAUAGUUUGUUUUUUUUAAGGCCAGCUCUAAGUGCUGUUGACGUGCCACUGGUAAAGCACUCACCUCCCAUGUGCAAGGGCCUGGGUUCA
rnacentral:lncRNA from 1 species